ensembl:lincRNA
GGCUCUCGAGCAGCGCGCAGAAGCCGUAGGCAGUGCGCGCCCGGGGCAGGUGCUGAAGCGAGAGUGCGGCCUGCGAGCGCGGGUCCCAGUCCGUGCGGCCAGCGCCAUCGUCAGUCCCUGCUUGUUCGCCCCAGGAGUCUCGGAUUGCAGUCAGAGUCGGGCAGGACACGAGUCGCGGGGGGAUGCAGAACUCGGGGAUGCGGUCCGGGGAGGCGCUCGGGUCCCAAGAGGAGCCGCUCCAGGCACCACAUCAGGCAGCAGGUGCCGGUUCCUGAGGAAGCUCUGCUGGAGCUGGUCAUCCUGCAACGCACAAGCACACACGGAUCUCAGAGUGAGCUCUGCAGGGCGCAGGAGCUCCGGUCUCCGGUCUCUUCUACUUACGAGGUGCCUCCUCCUACCUCCCUUGGAACCAGGCAACUACCCCUCACGCUGCUAUUGCAGAUGUUUCAGUGUUUCUCUGAUGUCUUCUCUAUUCCUCAGUGGUGUACACUUUGGGUUUGUUGCCUUAAUCUAGACCUGCCCUUGCUGUUCUAAGGCAGAGCUUUUCAAAGUGUUUGCCUCGCGUUGUCCUUGGUGCCAAGAGGCACUAUACUUGUGCAAUGGUUUCCUGAACCCUUGGAUUAUUGCACUCUAGUCCUCAGAUUUAAAAUAAUUAUUAUCCUUUCUAGAAUAUUCGGCUUGCUCCCCGCUUUUAAGCUCAAAGAGCCUCAGACGAGUCCCUGGGAGAGUUAAGCAAGGCUAUAGGUCUCCGCACCGUUCUGCCUGGGGCACCAAACUGUAGAGGUGCACGGCCUCUGGGGAGAUCAAAGUUCCUGCUGCGGGGUUCGCUAAAGUUUAAAGGCUAUCGGCCUGAACCUUUCUUUAUACCCCCGCCAAUGGGCGGGCCGGAUUGGCACUGCUAGGUAACCUGACGCCAAGCCUUCCAACUUUCGCUCUGCCACGUGGCUGGAUCCGCAGUGCAAAUUCUAGACAUUCAGUUCUAAAUGGGGGUGCUUCUGUUUACUUAUGUGCAAAAGAGGGCUCAGUCUUUACUAUAUGGCAAAGUCAUUAUGAGGAUCAAUUGGCAUACUGAAUUGAAUCACAGAAGCUCUCUAUACCCACCAUGAAGAGGAUACAAAAGUCGAGUUUGUCUCAUUCUUAGUUAAUAUCCUCCCCCAAAUCCAGCCUUUAGUCUGCCCAGGUUUCAAAGUUCCCUACCUGCCUUCUGGCUUUCUGUUCUGAUUUUAAAUUAUUUUCCUUUGUUGACUACAAACUACUGUGUGUACAGGGAACCUUAUAGGUUGCUGGAAAUAUUUUGCAUCUUGAUCUGGGUGGGAUUACUGGGUUGUAUUCACAUGUAAAAAGAUAAUCUAGUAUGCACUUAAGAUUAGAUAUAAGAUUAUGUAUUUUAUACCUCAGUUUAAAAAAUAACAACCAACUUCUUAAACCUUGUGUGCUGAUUUUUAAAUUGGGAAAUUAUAUUCCUGCACACAUCUGGGCUGUUGGACCCAUCCUUUGGAGGCAGCCUAACCACAUCUGGCCUUUCUAGGCUGUGCUCACCUGAGAGGUCUUUUCCUUCCUUUGAAAAUUGACCUAAGUUCACUUUCUAAGCGACCUUCUUCCAGCUAGCUUAGGAUGAAAGAGAUCUGAGGUGUUUUGUUUGGGUGUAUGUUAUUUCUGGGCUUCCUUGGUGGCUCAGUGGUAAAGAAUCUCCCUGCAAAGCAGGAGAUGCACGUACCUUCCUUAGGUCAGGAAGGUCUCCCGGAGAAGGAAAUGGCAACCCACUCCAGUAUUCUUGCCUGGAAAUCCCAUGGACAGAGAAGUCUGAUGAACUACAGUUCAUGGGGUCUCAAAAGAGUCAGUUGUCUAAGACAGCUAAGAAAAGAAUCAGACAACUCACGAAACAGUUAGACAAAGCAAAAGAGUCAGACUUAACAACUAAACAGCAAUAUGCUAUUUAUGCUUAAGAUUGAGUUCAGUCUCUCAGUCAUGUCUGACUAUUUGUGACCCCAUGGACUGUAGCAUGCCAGGCUUCCCUGUCCAUCACCAACUCCCAGAGCUUACUCAAACUCAUCUCAUCCUCUGUCAUCCCCUUCUCCUCCUGCCUUCAAUCUUUCCCACAGCAUCAGGGUCUUUUCCAAUGAGUUGGUUCUUGGGUGGCCAAAGUACUGGAGUUUCAGCUUCAGCAUAAGUCCUUCCAAUGAAUAUUCAGGACUGAUUUCCUUCAGGAUUGACUGGUUGGAUCUCCUUGCAGUCCAAAGGACUCUCAAGAGUCUUCUCCAACACCACAGUUCAAAAGCAUCAAUUCUUCAGUGCUCAGCUUUCUUUAUAGUCCAACUCUCACAUCCAUACAGGACUACUGGAAAAUACAAAGCUUUGACUAGAUGGAGCUUUGUUGGUAAAGUAACGUCUCUGCUUUUUAAUAUGCUGUCUAGGUUGGUCAUAACGUUUCUUCCAAGGAGUAAGAGUAGUUGAAUUUCAUGGCUGCAGUCACCAUCUGCUGUGAUUUUGGAGCCCCCAAAAUAAUCUGUCACUGUUUCCAUUGUUUGCCCAUCUAUUUGUCAUGAAGNNNNNNNNNNNNNNNNNNNNNNNNNNNNNNNNNNNNNNNNNNNUUGAUAUUUCUCCCAGCAAUCUUGAUUCCAGCUUGUGCUUCAUCCAGUCCAGCAUUUCUCAUGAUGUACUCUGCAUAUAAGUUAAAUAAGCAGGGUGACAGUAUACUCCCUUGACGUACUCUUUUCCCAAUUUGGAGCCAGUCUGUUUUUCCAUGUCCAGUUCUAACUGUUGCUUCUUGACCUGCUUACAGAUAUCUCAGGAGACAGGUCAGGUGGUCUGAUACUCCCAUUUCUCUUUAAGAAUUUUCCACAUUUUGUUGUGAUCCACACCGUCAAAGGUUUUAGCAUAAUGAAGCAGAAGUAGAUUUUUUUCUGGAAUUAUCUUGCUUUUUCUCCUUAGCUCUUUAGCUCUCUUCCUCUUUUAUGUCUUGAGAGAAUGUUGUGUGUAAAUCAGGAAGAAGGCUCUUUUCAGGAAUCAAAUCUGC